GUGUCAGCAGCCGCGGUAAUACGUAGGUGGCGAGCGUUGUCCGGAAUUACUGGGUGUAAAGGGCGUGUAGGCGGGGGAUCAAGUCAGAUGUGAAAUACCGUGGCUUAACUGCGGGGCUGCAUCUGAAACUGAUUUUCUUGAGUGCUGGAGAGGAAAGCGGAAUUCCUAGUGUAGCGGUGAAAUGCGUAGAUAUUAGGAGGAACACCAGUGGCGAAGGCGGCUUUCUGGACAGUAACUGACGCUGAGGCGCGAAAGCGUGGGGAGCAAACAGGAUUAGAUACCCUGGUAGUCCACGCCGUAAACGAUGGAUACUAGGUGUAGGAGGUAUCGACCCCUUCUGUGCCGGAGUUAACACAAUAAGUAUCCCACCUGGGGAGUACGGCCGCAAGGUUGAAACUCAAAGAAAUUGGCGG
rnacentral:rRNA from 1 species